GUAGGCGACCUGGCAUCCCUAUGGCUCCAACACUCUCAUUUGGAUGCCACCUGGUAUUGCACUAAGUCAAUGGUAGGAUCACCAUAUCGUGGGUGACCAUAUGUGAGUUCCCUGAUUACAAAGGCUCAUCUGUGCACCUACCGCUCUG